ACCGAGUGGCGACGACAUAAGUACCUACCACGAGUACGGCACCGUCACCGCAAGGCAGGGUCACUAAACCAGCUCUUAUCCACGACUAAAACAUAAUGAUGGGUGGCGUGGACAAGAAAGAUCAGAGCUGCUUUCCCCAUCGAAAGGAGACGAACAAAGGUGUGGUAUAAGAAACUAUUUCGUAGUCUCCUAAACGUCGCCAUUUAAAACUCAAAAUCCCAACAUGUCGCACCUUCCGAAUGUCACUUGAAGCGCUGGUGACUGCAGACGAUUUAAGGAAUCACACACCUUCGACAAAAUAGCAGAAAUUAUUAUUGAUAUACAUUCCGAAUAUGAUUUAAGACUGCCUAAAAUAACAAAAAUUGUGACAUGGUCAAAGCUUUCAAAAUAUUUGGAAAACCUGACUUACCAGACGUAGAAAGUGAUGGAAUCUUGAAUGAAACUGAUGACUUCCUUGAUAAUGAUAACAAUAAUGAGCAAACUUGUUACGGUUCAAACGCAACUAAUAGAAUCUAUUAGUAGCAUUUUAGAACACUUGAAGACAUUUCUUUUCAACAGUGAUCAGAUUUCAGUAAACGCCUACUUGUUUCCUAAACGAAAAAGAAAAUGUAGCUGCCAUUGCUUUCUUGACGGAUAUUUUUAAACAUAUCAAUAACCUGAACCGUACCUAAACUUCAAGGCAAGGGAAAGCUUGUAUGGGAGCUCAUGUCAGAAGUAAAAAGUUUUUCGCGAAAACUCGAUCUCUUUAUUAAUGAUCUUUUGAUAUUGAGGAAAUUCUUGAAAAGGUUUGCACUGAAUUACAAAUACUUGAAUCCUAAUAGCAUUGGAAUCCCAUAAGGACUAUUGAUCUGUUACAGAACGAGUAUUCCCGGCAGAAAAUACAUCUAUUUAUUACACUAAAGGACCUGAAGUGUUUGGGAGAGCCCAUGAUCGGUUGUUUGACGCAGUGAAUAAUCUGAAGGCUACUAUCGCCGAAACAAAAUAUACCAGCCAAGGGCGCGUCGUUCCUUAGAAAAAACGUUUACUCCAACAACAGCAUCAAUGCAGUACGCUACAACUAACAAAAGCUGAGAUAACCGGUUAGAGAGGACCCUGAAACCACCUCGGAGAGUCAAGCAGACCUAGAUUGAAAGAACACUGAAAUAGAAGAAUGCCGAGUGGCUCAGAUCGUCUGCAGACAACUAUACACUUUGUGAUGAAAAGUGGGCCAUAACUAGGAAACGGCGCCAGCAGUCUGUAUUACAGAAGACGCGAAACAUUAAAAAUAAGUUGUGUGAGAGACCUCGGAGAAGAUGGGUAUCUUCUCCGAGCACUCGUGCCCCAGCUUGAGUAUGGUUUUUGGUAAAAAAAUAAUCAACUCGCAUUGACUUUAACAACUGUAAAACCUUUUCACUUCGAUAGACACAACAAUACCGUAGCUUAUACCAAUGUAGGUAAGUUAUGGGGCCUCGAUUACGCCGAUACUCGGUGACGAACGGCGACACUUGUAGUUGUAGGCAGAGCAUCAGACUAGCCGAGUUUAACGACGGUGACAUAAUCAGGCUUCCAAAUAUAACGGGAAUGACAAACAUUUAAUAAAGACUCCAUUCCACUCGGUCCCAAAUUACACACUUUUGAGCGUGUAGAACAUUAAGAACAAGUUGUACGAGCUACUUGUCUUCCGCAAGCACGAGCAUAGCGACGAAACAAAUAUUGCGUUCAUCUCAUCAAUCCCGGCACUCGCUCCUGACGUGGACAUCUACAAGUGGGAGGCGGCCCGAAGUAUCUCAAGAAAGUAAUAAAGGAACAUCUGGAGGAGAGGUCCUUGCCAUGCGGAGGGACUUCUACUCGAGAUGCUAAGAAAACACAAUAUGAGAUCAUUCCUCUCCGUGCCUAAUAAGCAGAAAACGUUGAUAUGGAAAGACGCUGGGAUAUGAUUCGUUGAAGUGAUCAACCCGAAAAUUAUAAAUAAGCAAGACAGCAAGUUAAAUAACGGUUCAACACAGACAGAUGACAAUAAUGAAAAUGAAAUUCUUCUGCAGUUAAAGGAAAAAUUUAAUGACCCCUUCACGUCUACUGCCUUAAAAACAACUAGGUAUUCUCACUUUGGCGCCAAAAUCAUGGAGUGAAAAGCGGCUUGCUGAAGAGUUUCACACAACUAGACGUCAAGCUAAAAAGGCAAAGGAAUUAGUUAAGGAAAAAGGCAUUUUGCCAUCGCUCAAUCCGCGAGGAGGUCGUAAAUUAACACCCGAAACGGAAAUUUUGUGAAAAGUUUCCAUUUGAGGGAAGGUAAUACUAGAAUAAUGCCCGGGAAAAGACUGUUUCGGUUAAGUUACAUGACGGAAACAGAGUUCAUUUACAGAAGCAGCUCUUAAUGUGCAAUAUUGAUGAAUUAUACCAACAGUUUAAACAAGAAUAUCCGGUAUAAAAGUGGGGCUUACCAAAUUCUUCACAUUGCGCCCUAAACAAUGUAUUUUUGCUGGCGACUCUAAGUAUUGUCAUGAUAUCUGAUGACCUCAAACAUGACAUUGCAGCAUUUUAAACAUUUCAAGGUGUCUUGCGUCGGCAUCUCCAAGAAAAUAAUAUUCCUGUUAAGACUUUGUAUUAUUAAACUUUAAAUUCUGUUGAUUAUGUUUUAGAUAUUGAAUCCUAUUGUGAUAAAAAAAAAAAAAACUGCGCAAUUGAUCAAGCAAUCAUCAAAGACAUGGAUGAUGGUUUAACAUGGACAUGGUUUAACAUGGGAGCCACAUGUGUCUGACGUCAGUCGCCGGGUGAACAAUACAUUGCGGGCGCUUUAUAAACAUAAAAACUUUUUACCGGCAAGCACUAAAAUUUUACUUGUUCAGUCCCUAAUAUUGCCAAUCAUUGACUACGCUGAUGUCUGUUGCACAAACAUUACACAAGCCUCGCUGUCCAAACUUGAUCGUCUCCUUAACAAUUGCAUCAGAUUCGUUUUUAACCUGCGCAAAUAUGACCAUGUCUCUGCCUUUCGCCGUAAACUCCAAUGGCUCCCAAUUCGUGAACGCAGGUCAUUGCGAAUUUUAUGUACUCUGUAUUCAAUUUUAUUUGACCCAGCUGCACCCAGUUAUCUCAGGUCUAAAUUUGAGUUUAUAACAGCCCGUCCUGGUUGCAUUCUCCGUGCUUCUCGUAGUCUGAUGCUGGCUGUCCUCCCUCAUCGGACUGGAUUCUUGUCCAACUCAUUCACCUGCCAAGCAAUUCGUCUGUGGAAUGCUCUCCCUCUGCCUAUCAGACAAGCUCAGAGCAAGCUUUCAUUCAAAAGCAAGUUGCGUAAGCAUUUAUUUGAAAGCAUUCGAGACUAAAUGUAUAUGUGAUGUCUCACACUAGGUACAUAAUUAUUAUAUAUAUAUGUAUGUUUAUUUAUAUAUAUUGAAUUUGUAUAUACGUAGGUAUAUUUUAAAAUGUAUAUUUGUGUAAUAGUAUAGUAUAGUAUUAUAGUUUGUAGUGUCGACUUGUGUCUAUAUUCUCAUAUUCACUAUUUACAAUCCUGCACCAAAUUAAUUACUGUCUCUGUUUAGCCCAAUGGUUGACUGGUAGAGAAUGCCUCAAGGCGUUAAGUCCGCCAAUUGUACUCUUUUUUUGUAAAUUUGUGCAAUAAAGUUUAAAUAAAUAAAUAAAUGAUGAUAAGGUAAACAACUAUUUAUUUAUUAUAAGCAGAAAUACAUUUUCAUUACUGACAGCGCACCACAACACUUUAAAAAUAGAUAUAAUUUCAUAAAUUUAUUCUACUUUAACCAGGAUUUUGGUGCAGAAGCAGAACUCCAUUUCCACGCUACUGCCCAUGGCAAAGGACCAUGUGAUGGUCGGUCUUGGUGGUAACCUGAAACGCUUGGCCACACAUGCAAGCUUACAAUCUGCUGUAAAAAAAAGCCAUCACCACACCCAGGCGUUUAUACGAAUGGGCCAAAGCAUCGUUGACUCAAACAAUGUAGGUAAUGCAGAGACAACAACUACGUCGCAAGAAAAGGACGAGAACAAGGAAAAUAUGGAUCUGAUCCACUGCCGAUGCCGAAAGGAUGCCACAGAGAAGAGGUCUUUUUGUCAAGGAAUUUAAUUUAGCUUGGAUAUUUGUUUAAUUUAAAAUGGAUUAUUCAUUCCUUAUAAUAAAUAGCUUUUUCUUUAAAUUAA